AUUGAACGCUGGCGGCAGGCCUAACACAUGCAAGUCGAACGGUAACAGGGAUCAGCUUGCUGAUUCGCUGACGAGUGGCGGACGGGUGAGUAAUGUCUGGGAAACUGCCUGAUGGAGGGGGAUAACUACUGGAAACGGUAGCUAAUACCGCAUAACGUCGCAAGACCAAAGAGGGGGACCUUCGGGCCUCUUGCCAUCGGAUGUGCCCAGAUGGGAUUAGCUAGUAGGUGGGGUAACGGCUCACCUAGGCGACGAUCCCUAGCUGGUCUGAGAGGAUGACCAGCCACACUGGAACUGAGACACGGUCCAGACUCCUACGGGAGGCAGCAGUGGGGAAUAUUGCACAAUGGGCGCAAGCCUGAUGCAGCCAUGCCGCGUGUAUGAAGAAGGCCUUCGGGUUGUAAAGUACUUUCAGCGGGGAGGAAGGGAGUAAAGUUAAUACCGUUGCUCAUUGACGUUACCCGCAGAAGAAGCACCGGCUAACUCCG
rnacentral:rRNA from 1 species